UUCCGGUUGAUCCUGCCGGAGGCCAUUGCUAUCGGGGUCCGAUUUAGCCAUGCUAGUCGCACGGGUUCAGACCCGUGGCGAACAGCUCAGUAACACGUGGCCAAACUACCCUAUGGACCCGGAUAACCUCGGGAAACUGAGGCUAAUCCGGGAUAGGGUUCCCAGGCUGGUAAUGCCGGGAACCCGAAAGGCUCAGGCGCCAUAGGAUGUGGCUGCGGCCGAUUAGGUAGACGGUGGGGUAACGGCCCACCGUGCCGAUAAUCGGUACGGGUGGUGAGAGCCAGAGCCCGGAGAUGGAAUCUGAGACAAGAUUCCAGGCCCUACGGGGCGCAGCAGGCGCGAAACCUUUACACUGCGCGAGAGCGCGAUAAGGGGACCCCGAGUGCGAGGGCAUACAGUCCUCGCUUUUGUACACCGUAAGGUGGUGUACGAAUAAGAGCUGGGCAAGACCGGUGCCAGCCGCCGCGGUAAUACCGGCAGCUCAAGUGAUGGCCAAUAUUAUUGGGCCUAAAGCGUCCGUAGCCGGCCGGACAAGUCCGUCGGGAAAUCCAUCCGCUUAACGGAUGGGCGUCCGGCGGAAACUGUCCGGCUUGGGGCCGGAAGAUCCGAGGGGUACGUCCGGGGUAGGAGUGAAAUCCUGUAAUCCUGGACGGACCGCCGGUGGCGAAAGCGCCUCGGAAGGACGGACCCGACGGUGAGGGACGAAAGCUGGGGUCUCGAACCGGAUUAGAUACCCGGGUAGUCCCAGCCGUAAACGAUGCCCGCUAGGUGUGGCGUAGGCUACGAGCCUACGCUGUGCCGUAGGGAAGCCGUGAAGCGGGCCGCCUGGGAAGUACGUCCGCAAGGAUGAAACUUAAAGGAAUUGGCGGGGGAGCACUACAACCGGAGGAGCCUGCGGUUCAAUUGGAUUCAACGCCGGG
rnacentral:rRNA from 1 species